rnacentral:rRNA from 1 species
AGUGAACGCUGGCGGUAGGCCUAACACAUGCAAGUCGAACGGCAGCACAGGAGAGCUUGCUCUCUGGGUGGCGAGUGGCGGACGGGUGAGGAAUACAUCGGAAUCUACUCUGUCGUGGGGGAUAACGUAGGGAAACUUACGCUAAUACCGCAUACGACCUACGGGUGAAAGCAGGGGACCUUCGGGCCUUGCGCGAUUGAAUGAGCCGAUGUCGGAUUAGCUAGUUGGUGGGGUAAAGGCCCACCAAGGAGACGAUCCGUAGCUGGUCUGAGAGGAUGAUCAGCCACACUGGAACUGAGACACGGUCCAGACUCCUACGGGAGGCAGCAGUGGGGAAUAUUGGACAAUGGGCGCAAGCCUGAUCCAGCCAUACCGCGUGGGUGAAGAAGGCCUUCGGGUUGUAAAGCCCUUUUGUUGGGAAAGAAAUCCAGCUGGCUAAUACCCGGUUGGGAUGACGGUACCCAAAGAACAAGCACCGGCUAACUUCGUGCCAGCCGCCGCGGUAA